rnacentral:lncRNA from 1 species
UGGGGGGUAGAUAGGGUACACUCAGGAGGGUUUUCCUCCAUUUCUUUUUUCUAACUGCCUGGAUUCACCAUUGGAUUUUGUAAAUGGAAAAACGAAAUGAACAAUGCUAUAUUGGAUGUUUUCUCUUUCUGACUGUGUGUGUGUGUGUGUGUGUGUGUCCUGUCUGUGUGACCAUACGUGGGGAAGUAUGACUGAGUAAGACAGGAUGUGUCUGUGUGACUUUGUGUGAGGAGACACCCCUGAGGAGAACUUGCCUGGUGCACACAUAUGAGUAAAUGCCUGUAUGCAGAGAUGUGUACAUUGCAUGUGCGUUCGCGUGCACACACACACACACACACAUCCAUCUAGUUGAGAGGAGACAAACUAGAGUAUGUGCCUGCAGCAGGAAGUAGUGUGUUCAGGAGAUAGAACCUGGAAAUUAUGUGUAUGUAUUUAGAAAGAGGGCUGACUCCCAUCGUAUAAGAUCAUCCUCUCUUGGCCCAAGCUCUGAGCACCAGGUGAAAAAGGCAGGGUACUUGAGAACCCCUCUCCUCCCAAAGCCUGGAGUCUCAGUCCCCUUCCUCAAACUCAAACAAGAUGUUCUUGAAAUUGGAUGACCAUGGAGAAUGGGGAAAGGGAAUUGGGGAUAAAAUAUUGGGGAAACUGAUGGGGUUAGGAAAUGCCCCCCCAAAGUAAAGGCACUGGAGAAAUUGCUCAGUCUGGGCUAGGAGCCUUUCCCAAGGAUCCACUAUAUACAGCUGGGACUUUGGUCAACUUUGAUUAAAUUCAGAGGCAGGUGCAGCAGGUCUGGGGUCUACCCAGCUGGCCUACUCCCUGCACGCUUGAUUUACUAUUUAUUUAUUUAUUUAUUUAUUCUCUCAGGUGCACAGAACUGAGUGGACCAUACUCCUCAGUUCUUGGCACAAUAUAUCAUCGUUGGUCCAUGCAAGGCCCUUUUAUUUUUUGUUUUGUUUUGUCCCCUUCAUCACCCAUCCCUGAUCCCAUCCUCCCCCACUCCACAUAGGCACCCACUCGUGUAUUUAACGUUGUCCUUCCAAUCCACCGAUCAUGUGUUUCUUUACAUAUGUGUAUCUGUGUAAAAUAUAUGGUAUUGUUGUGUUUUAAUUUACAUAAACAGUAUUGUACUAUAAAUCUUGUUCUGUUUCUUUUUUCACUCAACAUUAUGUUUUUGAGAUCCAGCCAUAUUGCUAUAUAUAGAUCUAAUUCAUUUUAGUGGUCCAUCUUAAAC